GGGUCAGUAGGUUGGUCGUGCCACCGGUACGUACUGGUCUCACUGAUUCCUCCUUCCUGAAGAACCGUAAUGCCAUUAAUUUGGUGUUGCGGGGAGACAGGACUGUUACUUUGAAAAAAUUAGAGUGUUUAAAGCAAGCUAACGCUUGACUACAUUAGCAUGGAAUAAUGAAAUAGGACGAUCGAUCCUAUUUUGUUGGUUUCUAGGAUUGACGUA
rnacentral:rRNA from 1 species